rnacentral:rRNA from 1 species
AACGUAGGGGGCAAGCGUUGUCCGGAAUUAUUGGGCGUAAAGAGCGUGUAGGCGGUCCGGUAAGUCAGCUGUGAAAGUCAAGGGCUCAACCCUUGAAUGCCGGUUGAUACUGUCGGGCUAGAGUGCGGAAGAGGCGAGUGGAAUUCCCGGUGUAGCGGUGAAAUGCGCAGAUAUCGGGAGGAACACCAAUUGCGAAGGCAGCUCGCUGGGACGUAACUGACGCUGAGACGCGAAAGCGUGGGGAGCAAACAGG